rnacentral:rRNA from 1 species
AUGAACGCUGGCGGCGUGCCUAAUACCUGCAAGUCGAGCGAACAGAUGAGGAGCUUGCUCCUCUGACGUUAGCGGCGGACGGGUGAGUAACACGUGGAUAACCUACCUAUAAGACUGGGAUAACUUCGGGAAACCGGAGCUAAUACCGGAUAAUAUAUUGAACCGCAUGGUUCAAUAGUGAAAGACGGUUUUGCUGUCACUUAUAGAUGGAUCCGCGCCGCAUUAGCUAGUUGGUAAGGUAACGGCUUACCAAGGCAACGAUGCGUAGCCGACCUGAGAGGGUGAUCGGCCACACUGGAACUGAGACACGGUCCAGACCCCUACGGGAGGCAGCAGUAGGGAAUCUUCCGCAAUGGGCGAAAGCCUGACGGAGCAACGCCGCGUGAGUGAUGAAGGUCUUCGGAUCGUAAAACUCUGUUAUUAGGGAAGAACAAAUGUGUAAGUAACUAUGCACGUCUUGACGGUACCUAAUCAGAAAGCCACGGCUAACUACGUG